AUCGCCUGUCACCAUGCCUGUCACGUUCUAACAAGUAUGUAAGUGCGAAAGCGACAGGCAUAGUGACAGGUGAUAAAAAUGCAACCACGCUGACACCGCUGUAGGGCUAAGAUGGUCGGCUCUUUAUCAUUUGUCACCAUGCCUGUCACGUUCUAACAAAUAUGUAAGUGCGAAAGUGACGCCUGGCAUGACAGGUGAUAAAAAUGCGACCAUGAUACCGCUGCAGGACUCAUAACAAAUGCCAGUAGGAAAGCCGAUUAUGACUUGGGUGAAAUAAACACGUUAUUUUCAAUAUUUGCCAGAGGCCUCCGCCACUGGUGGGCUUGCUUGCUUUUUCUUUAGACAUAUAUAUAUGAAAUCUACUUCAGUUUAUGAUUUUUAUGUGGUAGUGUGAGAGUUAAAAAGCACAAAGCAAAAUGUCGAAUACAUCAAAUUUGAUAUGUUCCCAAAGUUGUAUAGACGGCAGCACUAUCUCGCUAUAUCGUAAUCCCGUAAGGGUUUCGUACUGCAAGUACGUACUGCUUGCCCUUAUGUCUCGGCCACACUGACGCCGUUGAUUGUCGCGAUAAUUCCAGUGUGGCCGAAAAGUGUCCAUUAUCGCGAUAUUCAACGGCGUUUCCUGUUAGUGUGACCCCGGACUUAGAGUAGCUCAAAGACGCCAUGACUAUGGUUACUCUGUGGUUCAGGUACACGAACUAAAAAAUUAUAAUAUAUAUAUUUAGUAUAGGAGUUGAACACCAACUAAAGUUAUAAAAAUUUUUGUAGUUAGGAUUAAGUAAUAUUUCUUUUUCGUGACGUUUCUUAUAUUUUAAAGAUGUUUUAAAGAGGGUUUUUAUUCUUUCCUUUCUUGGUGUGUACCUGUAUAUUAAUAUGUCAAACAGAUUUUAACAUAUAAAGGACAAAAGUUGUCUUUUAUAUUUUCGAAAGUUAGCCUUAUUUUGGUAGUCGUACAGUCACGUCAGUGCCAAAAAUAUGUAUUCAUUGUCCAUAUAUUGAUGUAGUAUUUUUGGCACUUUGUCCGUAUCGAUAUUUUUAGACGUGACUGUACCGUAGACAAAACUGACGUGUUUUGGCCUGUAAUGUUCUUAAUUUUUAAGACAGACAGACAUUAGAAUGUCCUUUUCAUUUUAGGUCAAAAGAAAUCAUACAUUAUUGACAUUUUAUUUACUUGACUAUUAUGUUUAAUACAAAAUAUGUGGGCGUUACGCGAUAUAAUGACUAGUUGUUGUCAACCUUAACCUCAUUAUACAGUCACAUAUGUCAUCACAUGUACAUAGCAUGUAGUUGCAUUAGUUAGUUAAUCAUAGUUUUUUAAUGAAUUACAUUCUUAUUCGUAAGUGUCGGUAAUUUUCAAUUUUAGUCAUAGCCUUAUUUUGCAUCGGAAUUUAAACCUUGUUCACUAGAGUAUAUGAUACAAAUUAAGACAAUAUCGGAUAUGACUAAAUUUGGAAUUUGCCCGACAUUUUCAAUUCAGACAGCAAUAAUUCGAUAUCACAAUUUUUAAUUCUUAAUGAUUAAGCGUUGUUUUCAUAAAAUUGUACAAAAUAAAUCAAAAUUAUUACAAA